rnacentral:rRNA from 1 species
CCUACGGGGGGCUGCAGUAAGGAAUCUUCCGCAAUGGGCGAAAGCCUGACGGAGCAAUGCCGCGUGCGGGAUGAAGCGUCUACGACGUGUAAACCGCUGUCAGGGAGCAGAACCAAUGAUCGCUCCCAGAGGAAGUGGCGACUAACUCUGUGCCAGCAGUCGCGGUAAUACAGAGGCCACAAGCGUUAAUCGGAAUCACUGGGCUUAAAGGGUGCGUAGGCGGACCGGCAAGCGUCUUGUGAAAUCCCACGGCUCAACCGUGGAACAGCAGGGCGAACUGCCGGUCUUGAGGAAGGUAGGGGCUGCCAGAACAGUAGGUGGAGCGGUGAAAUGCGUAGAGAUCUACUGGAAUGCCGAUGGUGAAGACGGGCAGCUGGGCCUUUCCUGACGCUGAGGCACGAAAGCGUGGGGAGCAAACAGGAUUAGAUACCCGGGUAGUC